UACGAAGGGGGCUAGCGUUGUUCGGAAUUACUGGGCGUAAAGCGCGCGCAGGCGGUCUUCCAAGUCAGUGGUGAAAGCCCGGAGCUCAACUCCGGAACUGCCAUUGAAACUGUAAGACUUGAGGAUGAGAGAGGUGAGUGGAAUUCCCAGUGUAGAGGUGAAAUUCGUAGAUAUUGGGAAGAACACCGGUGGCGAAGGCGGCUCACUGGCCCGAUACUGACGCUGAGGCACGAAAGCGUGGGGAGCAAACAGG
rnacentral:rRNA from 1 species